rnacentral:lncRNA from 1 species
AAUAAUUUUUCCAAUAUGAAUGUGUCUGGAUGAACAGCGUUAACAAUGGAUUUCGCGUGGAUGUCAUUCCAUGGAAGGUCGUGAGUUACAAUAUCAUUGGUUGUCAUGAAAAUAUAUUUCGGUAACUAGGUACCGGAAUUUACCCAGAUUUCGGUAAAUAUCUGCCGAACCAGCCUAUUUCCAGUGAACAACCGAAAUUUUCGGUAGAUUGGUACCGAAGUAUGCUGUUCUUUCGGCAAAUAGUUACCGAACUCAAAUUUCGGUAAACAUCUGCCGAACCGUACAAAUUCCAGUGAACCACUGAAAUUUUCGGUAGAUUGGUACCGAAAUAAGGGGGUAUGAUAGUCAACUUCGGUGAAUAUUAACCGAACUCGUAAACUUCGGGGAAUGCGAACCGAAAUGUGUUUAAAUUUACAACUGUUUACUGGGGGUAUAAAAGAAAACUGGGGGGUAGAAAAGAUGUAAGCAUAUGCCUAAAAACUUGUUAAAAAUCAUAUAAAUAACUUAAUCGAUACGAACCCGUCAUAUAAUUUAUAUUUGAGAUUACACCGACACUUUUUGUGGUCGAGAUUNN